rnacentral:rRNA from 1 species
UACCAGCACCCCGAGUGGUCGGGACGAUUAUUGGGCCUAAAGCAUCCGUAGCCGGUUCUACAAGUCUUCCGUUAAAUCCACCUGCUUAACAGAUGGGCUGCGGAGGAUACUAUGGAGCUAGGAGGCGGGAGAGGCAAGCGGUACUUAGUGGGUAGGGGUAAAAUCCUGUAAUCCUCCGGGGAGGACCAGUGGCGAAGGCGUCACGCUAGAACGGCUCCGACAGUGAGGGACGAAGCCCUGGGGCGCAAACCGG